GACGAACGCUGGCGGCGUGCCUAAUACAUGCAAGUCGAGCGAAGUUUUUCUGGUGCUUGCACCGGAAAAACUUAGCGGCGAACGGGUGAGUAACACGUAAAGAACCUGCCUUAUAGACUGGGACAACUAUUGGAAACGAUAGCUAAUACCGGAUAACAGCAUUAACUGCAUGGUUGAUGUUUGAAAGUUGGUUUUGCUAACACUAUGAGAUGGCUUUGCGGUGCAUUAGCUAGUUGGUGGGGUAAAGGCCUACCAAGGCGACGAUGCAUAGCCGACCUGAGAGGGUGAUCGGCCACACUGGGACUGAGACACGGCCCAGACUCCUACGGGAGGCAGCAGUAGGGAAUCUUCCGCAAUGGGCGAAAGCCUGACGGAGCAACGCCGCGUGAGUGAAGAAGGAUUUCGGUUCGUAAAGCUCUGUUGUUAGGGAAGAAUGAUUGUGUAGUAACGAGACACAGUAGAGACGGUACCUAACCAGAAAGCCACGGCUAACUACGUG
rnacentral:rRNA from 1 species